rnacentral:rRNA from 1 species
UACGUAGGGUGCGAGCGUUAAUCGGAAUUACUGGGCGUAAAGCGUGCGCAGGCGGUUCGUUGUGUCGGCGGUGAAAGCCCCGGGCUCAACCUGGGAAUGGCCGUUGAAACUGGCGAACUGGAGUGUGGCAGAGGGGGGUGGAAUUCCGCGUGUAGCAGUGAAAUGCGUAGAGAUGCGGAGGAACACCGAUGGCGAAGGCAGCCCCCUGGGCUGACACUGACGCUGAGGCACGAAAGCGUGGGGAGCAAACAGG